rnacentral:lncRNA from 1 species
AUGAAUCAUCAGUUCCUGGCUUUGCCUGACUCAGCACUGGGUUUUGUGGGCUGGGGAGUGAAUCAGUCAAUAGAAGUUUUCUCCCUUUGUCUUUCUGUUCUUGUUUGUCAUUCAAAUACAAAGAAUGACUUUUUAAAUAAGAAUACUGGUUCCAGACUAGGAAAUACUGUGCCUGUGUCUUCUCUUUCCAGAGUCAUCUGUAUUAGGAUGCCCAGACCUGGCUGUCUUCCUAACUGUCCUGAGGAGAUAGCUCAGCCCUCAUCGCUCACUGGGAAGACAAGUCAAUGGACCCUCAUUCCCCAGACAUGUCCUACAGCAGGGGUGCCCAGAAGCAUCAGCAAGUCAUCAGAGUCUGGGCUACAUGGGCCUACAGGCUAAUUAGGAGCUCUGUGCAUUGAGCCCCCAAGGUCCUCUCAGCGCAAGCAAUGAGCCACAGCCUACAGACAAUGACAUUGCAGUGGAAAUAUAAUGGCCACUCCUCCCCAUGUGAGUGUCUGCAUCACGAAGCCCCAGACUGAGUCUGUCUCCUUCCCUGUCCUGAGUCCAAAGCCUGAGGCUCCCUUGAACUCCAGGCAGAAGAGCACCAAUGGAACCAGCACCAUUGAUCAUGCCUCUGCUGAGACUCAGCACAGCCCAGUAAGUGCCGAGGGAGACAGUGGAAGUUGAUGGGGCUGUCAGGAACACUGUUUCCUAAUUAUCAGGACAAGCAGGACAGCUGGGGUAGACAGCUGGGAGGGAAACCAUAGACAGUUUCAGCUCAGAGGCCUGUGCUAGUUUAUGUUCUUGGUUCUCAUCAGGGUCUGAGAUUUCUCAUUUUGAAUUUUUCCCUCCCACAGUGAUUCUCAGAACCACUGGAUGUCUCUUCAUGACAGCAGCCUGUGCAUACCUAAAACUGUCCCCUGAGCACUCAGCAAUGUCAUGAAGGUGAUGGUGAGGAGGAGGGGGAGGAUGCCGUGACCCUAACAUCACACAGUUUAUUGAGGGCUUCCUAAGUGCCAGGCUCUGAACCCUAGGUUCUAAGUAGCUUGUUUCAUUGCAUCAACAUAAAACCAUGUUCUGUUGCCCACAUUUAUUGUUAUCUUACAGAAGAGGUGAGGAGCCCUGAGUUUUUGUGUAACUUGUCGAAAGCUGUGGGGUAGAAAAGGGUGAAGUCAUGUUUGAGACACGUGGGUAGUUUGUAGACACGGGGAGCAUGUCCAAUAUUCCCCACUGAUAUAGCAGCCAUCUCUUUCUCUUUCCUGUCACUCCAGGAAGGGACCCCAGUUCAUUGUGAUCUUACCAUGGGGUUUCUUGGUAGAGCAGAGUGAGCAGCAGUAGGUAAAGUAUGGCUGAGUUCAAAUGCACAGAUAAGAGAAAGAACAAGCACAGGGUCAUUCUGGGGCUUCAUUCUCAUUUUCUCUCUCUCUCCCUUUCAUUUCAAGAUUUCACCUCAGCCAUCCACUUUGUCCCCAACUCUUGAAAUCACUCACUUAAUCUGAGAAAGAGGCAUGCGGUUUGGGUCUUGGGUUCCAAGACCAAGGAAUGCAUUAGCAUUGCCUUUAGGCAGCUGAAGUUAGAGAACUGUAAUCCAACCAUCAGGAAAUGGCGUCAUGAAAAUCUUUGAAUUCUACAUAGGAUGAUGGGAACUCAAAGCUGGUGCUGGGUCUUCCCUGAGCUCCCUUACUUCAACUACAGGCAAGAAGGUUUUUGAUCAGAAAAACCAAAAGCAGAAUGACCAGGCCAUGAAAAGAAACAGAAUAAAAGCUUUAAACAAGUUUAAAGCA